GAAUCCAACGAAAAAUAGGGGACGUCGAAUAUUACGUAGUUGCAAAGAGAAUAUACGGCAAAUGGAAAGAAUUGGCACGUUUUCUGCCGCCAAGAAAUGUAUUUACGGAAGGAGAAUUAACAAUACUGCAAAGUGAUAA